CCUACGGGUGGCUGCAGUGGGGAAUAUUGCACAAUGGGGGGAACCCUGAUGCAGCCAUGCCGCGUGUGUGAAGAAGGCCUUCGGGUUGUAAAGCACUCUCAGUAGGGAGGAAAGGUUAGUAGUUAAUACCUGCUAGCUGUGACGUUACCUACAGAAGAAGGACCGGCUAACUCCGUGCCAGCAGCCGCGGUAAUACGGAGGGUCCAAGCGUUAAUCGGAAUUACUGGGCGUAAAGCGUGCGCAGGCGGUUUGUUAAGCGAGAUGUGAAAGCCCCGGGCUCAACCUGGGAAUUGCAUUUCGAACUGGCAAACUAGAGUCUUGUAGAGGGGGGUAGAAUUCCAGGUGUAGCGGUGAAAUGCGUAGAGAUCUGGAGGAAUACCGGUGGCGAAGGCGGCCCCCUGGACAAAGACUGACGCUCAGGCACGAAAGCGUGGGGAGCAAACAGGAUUAGAUACCCUUGUAGUC
rnacentral:rRNA from 1 species